rnacentral:rRNA from 1 species
UCAUAGCAGGUACAUGAUGUGUUCUUGUACAACUUGCACUCUAAAAAAAGUGCUUUUUGUUCGCGUUCGGGGGGGUCGUGAAGAUCUUAUCUGCAAGUAAUUGUGCUCGGAAGGGUUAUGAUGACUAUAUAAUAAUCAGACAUAGUAUGCUAAGGUAGUAUGUCUAAAGGGAAACAGCCCAGAACAAGAGUUAAUAAGGUUCCAAAAUUAUUGUUAAGUGAAAAUAAGGUAGUUUCAAUGCAAAACGGCCAGGAGAUAGACUUAGAUGCGGCCAUUUUUUAAAGACCUCGUAACAGAGCACUGGUUUAGUAAAUUAUUUAUAUAAUUUAUAUUGAUAAAAGCACCAAAAAUUUAACGGAUCUAAACAAUAUACCGAGACCUUGUCCAUAUUUAUAUAUAUAUCUAAGUUGUAUAUUGUAUUUAUGGGGUAGCGGAACAUUGGGCAAAUCUCAGAUUUUUUCUUUACAAGACUUAAGAUAAGAUAACCCAAGUGAUAAUGCUGACAUGAGUAACGAUAAAGGGAAUGAACUAUUCCCUCGCCUAAAACUUAUGGUAUUUACUUAAAGUAACGGCCUCUAAGUUUAUGAACCUAAAGGACUAAACGAUGAGAAAAUCUACCACUUCAAUUUUUUUUAAGAAAAAAUAAAAAAAAAAAAUAACCUUUGGGCACAGUCUAGCCACAGUUUGGCCUAGGGCACUCUGUGUGGGCACAGGCUUCAAAAAAAUAGAGACUGAUAUGACGAGAGGCUAUAUACAGUUUUGUGCUGAAGUGACGAGGGUUCUGGAAAAUUUGUGUGGUGCAUCAUGCAUAAUAGGCAGGAGGUAAUAUCCUGCCUACAAUGGUGUAAAAAAACCGUACCUAGAAACUACCCCCAGUAAGUUAGUAGAGAAUACGAAGGCGUU